AUGUGCGACCAUACCAGCACCAGUGCACCGUAUCCCAUCAGAACUCUGCAGUUAAGCGUGCUCGGGCAAGAGUAGUACUGGGAUGGGUGGCCUCCUGAGAAUUCCUUGUGUUGCACCAC